rnacentral:rRNA from 1 species
CAGCAGCCGCGGGAAAACGGAGGGUGCAAGCGUUGUCCAGAUUUAUUGGGUUUAAAGGGUGCGUAGGCGGCUAUUUAAGUCAGCGGUGAAAGACUCCGGCUCAACCGGAGCAGUGCCAUUGAUACUGGAUAGCUUGAGUGUUGGAGGGGUACAUGGAAUUGAUGGUGUAGCGGUGAAAUGCAUAGAUACCAUCAGGAACACCGAUAGCGAAGGCAUUGUACUGGCCAACAACUGACGCUGAGGCACGAAAGCAUGGGGAGCGAACAGGAUUAGAUACCCCCGUAGUCCCUGUCUCUUAUAC